GGACUACCGGGGUAUCUAAUCCCGUUCGCUCCCCUAGCUUUCGCGUUUCAGCGUCAGGUACAGUCCAGGUGGCCGCUUUCGCCACUGGUGUUCCUCCGGAUCUCUACGCAUUUCACCACUACACCCGGAAUUCCACCACCCUCUACUGCCCUCCAGUUUGACAGUAUCGGACAACCUCUCCAGGUUGAGCCCAGAGAUUUCAUGCCCGACUUGUCAAACCGCCUGAACGCGCUUUACGCCCAGUAAAUCCGGAUAACGCUCGGAACCUACGUUUUACCGCGGCGGCUGGCAC
rnacentral:rRNA from 1 species